GACGAACGCUGGCGGCGUGGAUUAGGCAUGCAAGUCGGACGGUAGGGCUUUAUCGUAAGAUAGAGUUUGAGAGUGGCGAACGGGUGAGUAACACGUAGGAAUCUACCCUUAAGACGGGGACAACCCAGGGAAACUUGGGCUAAUACCGGAUGAGAGUGCGAGAGAUUGCAUUUAAAAGGAUGGCGAAAGUUGUCGCUUAGGGAUGAGCCUGCGGUCUAUUAGUUAGUUGGUGAGGUAAGAGCUCACCAAGGCGAUGAUAGAUAGGCGGCCUGAGAGGGUGUACGCCCACACUGGGACUGAGAUACGGCCCAGACUCCUACGGGAGGCAGCAGCUAAGAAUAUUCCGCAAUGGACGAAAGUCUGACGGAGCGACGCCGCGUGGAUGAAGAAGGCCGAAAGGUUGUAAAAUCCUUUUGUUGGGGAAGAAUAACCAUGGGAGGGAAUGCCCGUGGGAUGACAUGAACCGACGAAUAAGUCCCGGCUAACUACGUG
rnacentral:rRNA from 1 species